CAGUAGCCGCGGGAAUACGUAGGGUGCGAGCGUUAAUCGGAAUUACUGGGCGUAAAGCGUGCGCAGGCGGUUGUGCAAGACAGAUGUGAAAUCCCCGAGCUUAACUUGGGAACUGCAUUUGUGACUGCACGGCUAGAGUGUGUCAGAGGGGGGUAGAAUUCCAGGUGUAGCGGUGAAAUGCGUAGAGAUCUGGAGGAAUACCGGUGGCGAAGGCGGCCCCCUGGACAAAGACUGACGCUCAGGUGCGAAAGCGUGGGGAGCAAACAGGAUUAGAUACCCCUGUAGUCCCUGUCUCUUAUAC
rnacentral:rRNA from 1 species